GUACGACAACUAAUUGAUAGGACGAUAGGACUAAUCAGUCUCCCGUCGACGGAACUUUCUCCUCGCGCAACGAGGCACCCGCAACGCGUCGCGUCGCCCAUUUCGAUGAACCAGAAGCGCAGGCUCACCUAGUGAACGUCGAGCGGGCCACGGGGAGGCCUGCUUGCUCGGCGGAAUUCGGCGGACCGUCUCGGCGACGGGGCUCUCCUCGCGCGGGGACACGUUGGCGCGCACUGGCUCUGUAUAUAGACACGUCGGAUCGCAAUGUCCACCCCCGGAUCAAUAUGCCCCGCGGAUAUCGGCUCGCGCUACGGACUUCCCUCUGCCGUAUCCUCCCUCCGCGCGCCCUCGGAAUCACGACGCCGAUGAAGAUUCUCUGGGGAGACGCGGACGACACCUCGACGCUCAAGGUUUACGUGGACUCGUCCUCCUGCGAAUUUUCGCGAACGACGCGUACGUUGUCGGAGCCACGGAGCAGCUGAUUGCGAACCGCGUCGACCACCCGAGUUCGACUCUCCCACCCUACUCCUUUUCGCAGCUGGCGGGGUUUUCAUCCCCCCGUUGGCGCAUGUUUCUCUCAGCGCAACAGCCAGAAGACAUCGUGUGAAAAAAUCGGUCGAAAAGUGCAAUCUGGCCGCAGGCCUGAUAUAAUGUAUUGAAAUUUUCGAGAUUUGUUCAAACAAAAUUCCGUCACUGUCUUUUGAAGGAAUCGAAUCAAUUUUUGUGGAACAAUGGCAGCUAGGAAUCAUUAAAAAAUUUUUGGAUUUCUUCUACUGAAA